UCGUGGGCGUGCUGCGUCGUGGCGGCGUGCGUGGCGGCGGUGGGGCUGGCGGGCGUCGGCGUGCUGGUGUGGUGGGCGGUGGCGUUCCACCCGGCGCGGGAGCAGCUCUGGAUGGUGCCCGUCGGGCUCGUCCUCCUCGGCACGCCGCUCGUCGCUUGGCUCUCCCUCUUCGCCUCCGGCGCAUGCCGCCGCCUCGGGACCAGCCUUCUCUGCACGCCGAGCUGCACGGGGAGGAGCCGUGGCCGGAGCUCGCAGUCGCCGCGCGUGGCCGGGGCGGAGCUCGGCCGCGCCCGUCCGCCUGGGAGCUGCCCUACUCCGGGUCGCAGACGACAUCUCCGUCAAGGCCGAAGCUGA
rnacentral:rRNA from 1 species